AUCAAGUUAUAGCAUUAAAUCAGACAAAUUACUGAAUUGUGACAUAAUGACGUUCACCAAAAUAUUCACGAGAAAAGAAUAAUUUCAAUAUCCAUAAUAAAUAACCAUGCUCAAUCGUUAAAUUAAAUAUAAUAAAAAGUUCCAUUACGCAACCACAGGGUAAUUUUACUUCUUUUACAUUAGAAGAACAUAUCCAGCAUAAGAACAAAUGGGGUCUCACAAAUAAAGUGUACGGAGAUGUUGCGCUACACACUGAAAAUUGAAAACAAAUCACUACAGCUCAGAUUGACCAUUCGAUAUAACUGCUAUGCUUAGUGUGCGACUCGAUCGCCUCCACCUGCAGCCUGUAUAGCUCGUGAUUCCACAGGUAUUUUGAAGCUUAAGCAGCCUGAAGCUGGUGGUGAAAAUGAACUUCCAAAUAUUUGCACUAACCAUCAUCUGCAGAAUCAGCACCGGAAUCGUAGCCACUAGGAGUUGCUAAUGAUGGGGUCGAUGUCGAGGUCGAGGAUCCAUGUUUACUUCCUGAUCGUCCUCCUAAGGAGGCCAAUUCUACAGCUGAUUUAACCAUAAACUUCAACACCCUCAUCUUCACUUGCCCCCUUCUUGGAGGAACUCUUUGUUUCUGGCUUGACUUGCUCCCUGAUUUUUCCAUUUGCAGAUUUUUUGUUAAGUUGGAGAUUGAUAAGAGAGUUUUACUAGGCUGAUGAUUGAUGGAAUGAGUUUAAGGGAGGGGCACCUUUAUAUUAAGUUCAAAAAAGGACCAAAUUGCAAAAUUCAUAUACUUGAUUUCCAAGGCUGAGGAGUGGAUAUUGAAUAAUUUCGAAAUAUUUGACUUCUUGUAGUGCUUACGUGGACACUAAAUUGGAAAUGGUCCACUCCAAAUAAUGUACAAUCUGGCAUGAAAGAAAAUAUGGAAG
rnacentral:lncRNA from 1 species